GCAGGUGAACAAGUGUUAUAUCCGCCUAUAACAUGCACACAGUCCAGUUGGUUGAUGUAUCUCUUGAGGAAUGUGGAUUAAAACCCUUUAAAAGAUGGGUUCUCUAAUAAAGCAAGGUUUGUUGAUGUUUACUCCAGACCAUCAGGCUGACUAUGAAACAUCCUGUUUGUGAAGACACUGUUGCUGAAUCUCAUCAUAACCAUGGAGAAUUGCCUGCCACUAUACUGACCAACAGUUUCAACAUUGGACACGUUUCCAUCCUUUUUGCCCUCUCCUGAACGUGCUGUUUGGAAGUUGUUAUUGCUUUUUUUUGCAUUUUGAACGUUUAACCCCAAUAAGUGGGAUGUUAUUUCAAGUAGUUUAAUUUUACAAUUUUUUUAUAUUGGUGCAUGCAAAGACUCUGUAUGAAAAAAUCUAAUUAUAAACAUUGGCUCAUGUUAUUUAAACAAAUUUGACACUUAAUAAUCCCGAACAACAAUAGGUGGAUGUAGGUGGAUCUAUUUGUUAUAUGAUGUUACAGAACAUACUUGUUCUUGAAACUAAUAUUCUACAGAAAACCUCAAAUAAACUUGACACUGUAUCAUUUGA